rnacentral:rRNA from 1 species
AGCUCCAAUAGCGUAUAUUAAAGUUGUUGCAGUUAGAACGCUCGUAGUCGGAUUUCGGGGCAGUCCGACCGGUCUGCCGAUGGGUAUGCACUGGCCGGAGUGUCCUUUUUGCCGGAGACCGUGCCUACUCUUAACUGAGCGGGGGCGGGAGACGGCACUUUUACUUUGAAAAAAUCAGAGUGUUUCAAGCAGGCAGCUCGCUCUUGCAUGGAUUAGCAUGGGAUAAUGAAAUAGGACUUUGGUGCUAUUUUGUUGGUUUCGAACACCGAAGUAAUGAUGAGAAGGGACAGUCAGGGGCACUCGUAUUCCGCAGAGAGAGGUGAAAUUCUCAGACCCGCGGAAGACGAACCACUGCGAAAGCAUUUGCCAGGGAUGUUUUCACUA